UGCCUAGUAGUUCAGCGGUAGAACAUCUGACUGUUAAUCAGAAUGUCGCUGGUUCGAGCCCAGCCUAGGCAGCCA
rnacentral:tRNA from 1 species